rnacentral:rRNA from 1 species
GGGCCCGCACAAGCGGUGGAGCAUGUGGUUUAAUUCGAUGAUACGCGAGGAACCUUACCAGGGCUUAAAUGCAGAAUGACAGAUUGGGAAACCAGUCCUUCUUCGGACAUUUUGCAAGGUGCUGCAUGGUUGUCGUCAGCUCGUGCCGUGAGGUGUCAGGUUAAGUCCUAUAACGAGCGCAACCCCUAUUCUUAGUUGCCAGCGGGUAAUGCCGGGAACUCUAAGGAGACUGCCAGCGCAAGCUGCGAGGAAGGUGGGGAUGACGUCAAAUCAUCACGGCCCUUACGUCCUGGGCUACACACGUGCUACAAUGGAUGGUACAAUGGGCAGCCACUACGCGAGUAGGAGCUAAUCCUCAAAACCAUUCUCAGUUCGGAUCGGAGUCUGCAACUCGACUCCGUGAAGUCGGAAUCGCUAGUAAUCG